GCAUUGACGGUUCAGUGGUAGAAUUCUCGCCUUCCGUUGAGGGAGACCUGGGUUCGAUUCCCAGCCAGUGUA
rnacentral:tRNA from 1 species